rnacentral:rRNA from 1 species
AAAACGACUCUCGGCAACGGAUAUCUCGGCUCUCGCAUCGAUGAGGAACGUAGCGAAAUGCGAUACUUGGUGUGAAUUGCAGAAUCCCGUGAACCAUCGAGUCUUUGAACGCAAGUUGCGCCCGAAGCCAUUAGGCCGAGGGCACGCCUGCCUGGGCGUCACAC